rnacentral:rRNA from 1 species
AUUGAACGCUGGCGGCAGGCCUAACACAUGCAAGUCGAACGGUAACAGGAAGCAGCUUGCUGCUUCGCUGACGAGUGGCGGACGGGUGAGUAAUGUCUGGGAAACUGCCUGAUGGAGGGGGAUAACUACUGGAAACGGUAGCUAAUACCGCAUAACGUCGCAAGACCAAAGAGGGGGACCUUAGGGCCUCUUGCCAUCGGAUGUGCCCAGAUGGGAUUAGCUAGUAGGUGGGGUAACGGCUCACCUAGGCGACGAUCCCUAGCUGGUCUGAGAGGAUGACCAGCCACACUGGAACUGAGACACGGUCCAGACUCCUACGGGAGGCAGCAGUGGGGAAUAUUGCACAAUGGGCGCAAGCCUGAUGCAGCCAUGCCGCGUGUAUGAAGAAGGCCCUCGGGUUGUAAAGUACUUUCAGCGGGGAGGAAGGGAGUAAAGUUAAUACCUUUGCUCAUUGACGUUACCCGCAGAAGAAGCACCGGCUAACUCCGUG